GACGAACGCUGGCGGCGUGCCUAAUACAUGCAAGUUGAGCGCUGAAGGAUGGUACUUGUACCAACUGGAUGAGCAGCGAACGGGUGAGUAACGCGUGGGGAGUCUGCCUUUGAGCGGGGGACAAUAUUGGGAAACGAAUGCUAAUACCGCAUAAAAACUUUAAACACAAGUUUUAAGUUUGAAAGAUGCAAUUGCAUCACUCAAAGAUCAUCCGGCGUUGUAUUAGCUAGUUGGUGAGGAAAAGGCCCACCAAGGCGAUGAUACAUAGCCGCCUUGAGAGGGGGAUGGCCAACAUGGGACGGGAGACCGGCCCAAAACCCUUCGGGGGGGAGCAGUAGGGGAACAUCGGCAAAGGACGAAAGUCUGAACGCGGAAAGACGGGGGAGGGAAGGAGGUUUUCGGGUCGUAAAAGUCUGUUGGUAGAGAAGGACGUUGAGCAGGGUGGAAAGCUCAUGUAGUGACGGUAACUACAGAAUAAGCGACGGCUAACUACGUG
rnacentral:rRNA from 1 species